rnacentral:rRNA from 1 species
UGGGGAAUAUUGGACAAUGGGCGCAAGCCUGAUCCAGCCAUGCCGCGUGAGUGAUGAAGGCCUUAGGGUUGUAAAGCUCUUUCGGCGGGGACGAUAAUGACGGUACCCGCAGAAGAAGCCCCGGCUAACUUCGUGCCAGCAGCCGCGGUAAUACGAAGGGGGCUAGCGUUGCUCGGAAUCACUGGGCGUAAAGGGCGCGUAGGCGGACAUUUAAGUCGGGGGUGAAAGCCCAGGGCUCAACCCUGGAAUUGCCUCCGAUACUGGGUGUCUCGAGACCGGAAGAGGUGAGUGGAACUGCGAGUGUAGAGGUGAAAUUCGUAGAUAUUCGCAAGAACACCAGUGGCGAAGGCGGCUCACUGGUCCGGUUCUGACGCUGAGGCGCGAAAGCGUGGGGAGCAAACAGGAUUAGAUACCCUGGUAGUCCACGCCGUAAACGAUGGAUGCUAGCCGUUGGCAGGCUUGCCUGUCAGUGGCGCAGCUAACGCUUUAAGCAUCCCGCCUGGGGAGUACGGCCGCAAGGUUAAAACUUAAAUGAAUUGACGGGGUCAUAGCUGUUUCC